rnacentral:rRNA from 1 species
GAUGAACGCUGCCAGAAUGCUUAACACAUGCAAGUCCACUUGAACUUCGGUUUGGGUGGCGGACGGGUGAGUAACGCGUAAAGAACUUGCCUCACAGUUAGGGACAACAUUUGGAAACGAAUGCUAAUACCCGAUAUUAUGAUUUUAGGGCAUCCUAGAAUUAUGAAAGCUAUAUGCGCUGUGAGAGAGCUUUGCGUCCCAUUAGCUAGUUGGAGAGGUAACGGCUCACCAAGGCGAUGAUGGGUAGCCGGCCUGAGAGGGUGAACGGCCACAAGGGGACUGAGACACGGCCCUUACUCCUACGGGAGGCAGCAGUGGGGAAUAUUGGACAAUGGACCAAGAGUCUGAUCCAGCAAUUCUGUGUGCACGAUGAAGUUUUUCGGAAUGUAAAGUGCUUUCAGUUGGGAAGAAAAAAAUGACGAUACCAACAGAAGAAGUGACGGCUAAAUACGUG